CACCCCCUACGUUCACUUAUUCAACUCUUUCUGGGUGACAACCCGCUGAAGUGGAACUUUAUCGUUUUGUUUGAGAUUCAGUUGUGUCGUGUGAUGUUCUUCUGGAGACUGUCUUAUGAGAGGAUGUUUCGCUGAAGCAGACACGCGAGAGGAUGUUUUGCUGAUAAUAGACAUUUGGUCAUGUUUUUCUGGAAGCUGCCUGCUGAAAGGGCGUGUGAUGUUUUGCUGGAGGGGAUGCUUGAGAGGACCCUUGACGUUUGGAAAGAGUGGAAGCACACCGAAGAACUUCUGGUGGUAUUCUGGCUGCUUCUUGACGCUUCUCAGGACUCCUGGUGAUCUGCAGAGCCUUGCAGUUUCUACUGGAUCCAGCUGCUACUGCUUACUGGUGUUUGGUGUUUUGCUAGUGAGCUGGACUGCUGACAAUGAAGAUUGGAAUCACCCCCAAAGAACUAUUUAUAAAUAAGUUCACAAUUCCUGUUCCCUAUUAGCCUCUCUUUUCCCUACCUCUGGUGGGUGGUGGGCUAGGAGGGAAGUCGAAGCGUUAAAGAACCAACAUUAAAGUAGGUUUUGAAAAAUCCAAGCCUACAGCCCACAGUUUAAGAAGCUAAACUGUGGACCUGUGGAUGUAGGGUUGGGAUAGGAAAGAACUUUAGCUGGUUCCUUUCCCCGUCUUCACCAACUUAAUUUGAGAAGGCAAGGGAGAAAGGAAUGACAAUUAAGCGAAUCUGUAGGCAGAGGUGGGGUGAGGUAUACCUGCCUGCAUGUUGUUAAAGAAGAGAAACUUGUGCUCUUCACAGUCUGACAGCUACCAAAGGUCAGUGCACUCUCUAGUUUCCUGUCAACUUGACACGAGUUAGAGUCAUCAGAGGAGGGAGCCUCAGUUGAGUAAAUGCCUCCGUAAGACCAAGCUGUAGGGAAGCCUAUAGGGCGUUUUCUUAUUUAGUGAUUGAUGGGGGAAAGCCCCACCCAUUGUGGAUGGAGCCAUCCCUGGGUAAAUGGUCCUGGGUUCUAUAAGAAAGGAGGCUAAGCAAGCCAUGAUGAUCAAGCAAGUAAGCAGCACCCCUCCAUGAUCUCUGUAUCAGUUCCUGCCUCCAGGUUCCUGCCCUGUGUGAGUUCCUGCCCUUAUUUCCUUCCUUCAGUGGUGCUCUACAAUGAGAAAGUGUAAGACAAAUAGACCCUGCCCUCCCCAACUGGCUUUUGGUUAUGGUGUUUCAUCACAGCAAUAGUAACCCCGAUUAAGACAGCCCCUUUGAGAAUGGAUUUUUGGUGUCAAUAUACCCUUACCAGCUUGAUACUGGAGAGGUUGUCCUCUUGGACUUUAAACAAUGUGACUAUUAUGAGACCCAAAAUAGUCACAAGCUGUAAAUUAAAUUCAAACACAUUGUACCUCUCUUAAUACUCAGCCCCACUCCAUGCUUUUUGUUUUUCUCCCCCCUCGCCAAGAAGACAUCAGCCAUCUCCACCUCCUCCGCUUUCCCAUCUGUCCUUUUCCCAGAAGACCCAGGAGAAGCAUGCCACAGGGCCAAGAGCUGCUCGGUGAGCUAGAAGCUCAUUGGCUGAGAGGGCAAUGAGACAGGUGAACGUUAAGGCUGCUGCCAAAGAGAGGUGAAUGAAUAAACAAACUGUGAUUGACUCAGACAGGAGGACCGCGGCCAUGGAAAGCGAAGAGCCAUAAAGGCAGUAACAUAUGGAGGAAAGCUGCAGCACGGAUCUAAGUGAAAGAAGCCGUGCUGACAAGACCACAUGGUCUGUGAGUCCAAAUGCGAGAUUUGGGGAGAAAUAAGACUCUGCCAAGAGUUAAAAGUUGGUGGCUGGCUAUGGUGCGCUAGAGCAAUGGAUGAAUAGCCAGAGCAGGGUGCCCCUAGGUACUGGAAAUACUCUUUAAUGGUGUCGCAGUAGAGAAACCUGCACUGUGAAUUUGCCCCAACAGGUAAAGUGUACACAGAGUGUGCCUCCUGAUGUAACCCGGGGGUUCUGAGGUAUGAUGAUGAAGCGUGGGAGCAGAUGGGGUGGGAAUCUGUAUUCUCCACCGAGUUGAAUGUGAACGUGUUUUGGGACAUCCAGCUGAAUAUCGCGGUAAAAGAAAAUCUGUCUCUCCUUCACUACUCUGACUCCAGGCUCUGGAGUAUGGCCAGCAGGUGUCUUCCUUAGGACUUUAAAGGGGGGCGUUUAGUCAGGACGGGCUCACAGGUUCAGAGGUUCAGUCCAUUAUCAUCACAGCGCAAAGCAUGGCAGCGUCCAGGCAGGCAUGGUGCUGGAGAGGAGCUGAGAGUUCUCCAUCUUGAUCCACAGGCAGAAGGAGGAGACUGUGUCCCAUUGGCCAGACUUGAGCUUCUUAGACCUCAAAGCCCACCUCCACCUUGACAUACUUUCUCCAACAAGGUCACACAUCCUAAUAGUGUCACUCCCUAUGGCCAAGCAUUCAAACACAGAAGUCUGUGGGGGCCAUUCCUGUUCAAAGCACCACACCAGGCCCCUGAGUGAAGAGACAGAGAUCCUAGAGCUCAGACAGAGUGAGGGGAGCUAACCAAGAUGGCGGGACCUGAGCUGUUUCCUCACCACGUGGGGCAGGGCUGGGGGAGGAGAGGACCUGGGGCGCUGGCUUCACUUGCUGAUUUACACCUUCCCCGAGGACAACAAUAGCAUGCAAUUGGUGUGAUUUGUUUUUAUUAAACACAAUACAAUAUGGUGCCACGGGUAAAUGGACACAAGAUAAUGAGCCUGGGCUCUAUGGCUUUGCCUUUCUCAAAGUGCGUCCUGGACUCCGCUCCUGGAAGAGAUGGUGGAAUUAUUGGGGGAAUGUUCUAGAGAAGUGAAGACAGUCACAGAGGAAUAAAGAGAAACCAAGGCUGAGAUGUCUCAGGUGUGCAUUGCUCAGAUGCUCAGAUGCUGAACAGGUCUGAAUUCCUCUCCUCUCUAGUAAUAGUCAUGAAGAGGGAGAGGAAGCGAGGAGGUAGCUCACCGGUAGAUACCUUUCCUAACAUCAGUACAGCCCUGGGUUGCUACCCAGCAUCACAUACGUACGGAAUGGAUGAUAGGGGAAGAGAGGCUCUUCAAUUUCUGAGCCUUGAGUAUGAAGAGGUAAAAAGAACUGUGGAAUAAUCCCAGCGAUGGUUAUGUUCAUGGGUUAUGGGUGGAAGGGUGUGCAUUUGUAUCGGAGUGAAAGAUAGCAUCCCUCAGGUGCAAUCCUCAUCUUUAUUUGUUGAUACAGGGUCUAUCAUUGCCCUGCAACUUGCCAAGUAGGCUAGGCUACUGGCCAGCUAGCCCCAGCAACCUGCCUCCCCGCUGCUGGGAUUACAGGCAUGCCCACCUGACAGUUUCUGCUGGCCUUUGAAAACAUCCCCCUAGCUCCUUCUCAUACCUGGGAAGGCUGUUUCCAGACUAGCCAGCAGCAGAUGGGAGGAUUGAGUGCAACUGUGAUGACAUCAGUUUACCGAGCCUUUGAAACGAAAGGGAUCGAUCUGAUUAUUCAUUUUGUACCUUCAGAGGGGAAGUAGGUGAAGGCCUGAGGCGGAACCAUCAUGGAAGCGAGCAUCUUAGUCACCCAAGACCUCAGAAGCUAGGGUUCUUAGAGCUGAAGGUGGUUUGGAAGGAUGCAGCCCUC
rnacentral:lncRNA from 1 species